rnacentral:piRNA from 1 species
UAAACAGUCUUCUUGUGGCUUCUGGUGAC